AGCAGUAGCGAGCCUUGAACCC
rnacentral:miRNA from 1 species